UACGUAGGGGGCUAGCGUUGUCCGGAAUUAUUGGGCGUAAAGAGCUCGUAGGCGGUCUGUCGCGUCUGCUGUGAAAACUCAGGGCUUAACCCUGAGCUUGCAGUGGGUACGGGCAGACUAGAGUGCGGUAGGGGAGACUGGAAUUCCUGGUGUAGCGGUGAAAUGCGCAGAUAUCAGGAGGAACACCGAUGGCAAAGGCAGGUCUCUGGGCCACUACUGACGUGGAGAAAGCGAAA
rnacentral:rRNA from 1 species